rnacentral:rRNA from 1 species
AUUGAACGCUGGCGGCAUGCCUUACACAUGCAAGUCGAACGGCAGCACGGAGCUUGCUCUGGUGGCGAGUGGCGAACGGGUGAGUAAUAUAUCGGAACGUACCCUAGAGUGGGGGAUAACGUAGCGAAAGUUACGCUAAUACCGCAUACGAUCUAAGGAUGAAAGUGGGGGAUCGCAAGACCUCAUGCUCGUGGAGCGGCCGAUAUCUGAUUAGCUAGUUGGUAGGGUAAAAGCCUACCAAGGCAUCGAUCAGUAGCUGGUCUGAGAGGACGACCAGCCACACUGGAACUGAGACACGGUCCAGACUCCUACGGGAGGCAGCAGUGGGGAAUUUUGGACAAUGGGCGAAAGCCUGAUCCAGCAAUGCCGCGUGAGUGAAGAAGGCCUUCGGGUUGUAAAGCUCUUUUGUCAGGGAAGAAACGGUGAGAGCUAAUAUCUCUUGCUAAUGACGGUACCUGAAGAAUAAGCACCGGCUAACUACGUGCCAGCAGCCGCGGUAAUACGUAGGGUGCAAGCGUUAAUCGGAAUUACUGGGCGUAAAGCGUGCGCAGGCGGUUUUGUAAGUCUGAUGUGAAAUCCCCGGGCUCAACCUGGGAAUUGCAUUGGAGACUGCAAGGCUAGAAUCUGGCAGAGGGGGGUAGAAUUCCACGUGUAGCAGUGAAAUGCGUAGAUAUGUGGAGGAACACCGAUGGCGAAGGCAGCCCCCUGGGUCAAGAUUGACGCUCAUGCACGAAAGCGUGGGGAGCAAACAGGAUUAGAUACCCUGAUAGUCCACGCCCUAAACGAUAUCUACUAGUUGUCGGGUCUUAAUUGACUUGGUAACGCAGCUAACGCGUGAAGUAGACCGCCUGGGGAGUACGGUCGCAAGAUUAAAACUCAAAGGAAUUGACGGGGACCCGCACAAGCGGUGGAUGAUGUGGAUUAAUUCGAUGCAACGCGAAAAACCUUACCUACCCUUGACAUGGCUGGAAUCCCCGAGAGAUUGGGGAGUGCUCGAAAGAGAACCAGUACACAGGUGCUGCAUGGCUGUCGUCAGCUCGUGUCGUGAGAUGUUGGGUUAAGUCCCGCAACGAGCGCAACCCUUGUCAUUAGUUGCUACGAAAGGGCACUCUAAUGAGACUGCCGGUGACAAACCGGAGGAAGGUGGGGAUGACGUCAAGUCCUCAUGGCCCUUAUGGGUAGGGCUUCACACGUCAUACAAUGGUACAUACAGAGCGCCGCCAACCCGCGAGGGGGAGCUAAUCGCAGAAAGUGUAUCGUAGUCCGGAUUGUAGUCUGCAACUCGACUGCAUGAAGUUGGAAUCGCUAGUAAUCGCGGAUCAGCAUGUCGCGGUGAAUACGUUCCCGGGUCU